UACGUAGGUGGCAAGCGUUGUCCGGAUUUAUUGGGCGUAAAGGGAGCGCAGGCGGUGAUUUAAGUCUGAUGUGAAAGCCCACGGCUCAACCGUGGAAGGUCAUUGGAAACUGGAUCACUUGAGUGCAGAAGAGGAAAGUGGAAUUCCAUGUGUAGCGGUGAAAUGCGUAGAUAUAUGGAGGAACACCAGUGGCGAAGGCGACUUUCUGGUCUGUAACUGACGCUGAGGCUCGAAAGCAUGGGGAGCAAACAGG
rnacentral:rRNA from 1 species